rnacentral:rRNA from 1 species
UACCAGCACCCCGAGUGGUCGGGACGAUUAUUGGGCCUAAAGCAUCCGUAGCCGGUCCUGCAAGUCUUCCGUUAAAUCCAGCUGCUCAACAGAUGGGCUGCGGGGGAUACUACAGGGCUAGGAGGCGGGAGAGGCAAGCGGUACUUUAUGGGUAGGGGUAAAAUCCGUUGAUCCAUAGAAGACCACCAGUGGCGAAGGCGGCUUGCCAGAAUGCGCUCGACGGUGAGGGAUGAAAGCUGGGGGAGCAAACCGG